AGAAACUUAAGUCAGAGAUAGAUGAUGAGUACACUGAAGCUGCAAGAGCAAUGGGUUUGGAGGAGAGACUAACAGCAAUGCGCGGAGAAUUCUCAAAGGCGAGUGCAGAGGAGCAUCUUAUGCAUCCUAUUCUGAUAGAGAAGAUUGAGAAGCUUAAAGAAGAGUUCAAUACACGUUUGAGUGAAGCACCUAACUACGAGAGCCUCAAAUCUAAGCUUGACAUGUUGAGAGACUUUUCAAGAGCCAAGGCAGCUUCAGAAGCUGCUUCAGUGAGAAAUGAGAUCAAUAAGCGGUUUCAAGAAGCUGUGGACCGUCCUGAAGUUAGAGAGAAGGUUGAGGCGAUCAAAGCCGAGGUUGCGAGCUCAGGAGCAUCAUCUUUUGAAGAGCUGAGUGAUGAGCUGAAGGAAAAAGUUUUGAAGACGAAAGGGGAGGUCGAAGCAGAGAUGGCUGGUGUGUUGAAGUCAAUGGGCCUAGAGCUUGAGGCUGUGAAACCGAAUGUGGCUGAGCAGAUCUUUGUUCCGAGCGAAAACAUUCAAGAGAAAGUUGAAAAGCUGAACCGAGAGAUCAGUGAGAAGAUUGAGGAGGUGGUGAGGACGCCAGAGAUCAAGAGCAUGGUGGAGUUGCUGAAAGUGGAGAACGCAAAGGCGAGUCAGACGCCAGGUGAUACUAAAGUGAGUCAGAAGAUAGAGACUCUUGAGCAGCAGAUCAAGCAGAAGAUUGCAGAUGCUUUAAGCAUGUCAGGACUGCAGGAAAAGCAAGAGGAGCUUGAGAAGGAGCUCGCGGUUGCACGUGAAUUAGCUGCAGAGAAAUCACAGGAGAGCCUGAAGGAAGAUGAUGAUGAUGAUGAUGACGAUGAAGACGGUUCAGAAUCUCACAAAUAUUUAAUAGAAUUAGAAAAUUAGUGAAUUGGAUAACACUAAAAUUUAAAGUAUUUUAGUAGAAUGAUUUCACAUACAUAAUCCAAUAACAUAAGAAUUUUUUAAAAAAAUUGAUAAAAUACAUAGUAGAUCAAUUAUAACAAAAAUAAUUUAAUGGAAAUUUCAAUUCUUUUAAAUUCAUUUGAAUUUCGAACUAAAACUAAAUCACUUUGUAACCAAAUCAAAAGUAGUUCGGUUGAGUUUGGCUGGAUCAAAGUAGUCAAACCGAACCGAAUCCAAAUUCAACCCACCUCUGGUAGAGAAGGGAGAAGUACAUAUUCAUGUUUUUUUCCGUUACAAGUUUUAAACAAAUUGAUUCCAACAGAAGUACAAAACUCCAAUGACUUAGAGGGUCUAGCGAAGCAGAUCAUAAUGGUUUCUACCACUGUAAAGAAGCCUAACAACAUUCUUCUUGUUGUUCCCUUUUCCCCAGCCUCCUCUAAACUCAGCUCCAUACUCUGCAAUCGGUAUAAAACCCGACCCAUACCCUCCUCCUCCUCCUCCUCCUCCUCCUCUCCUAUGCUGCAAAAUCAAGAUCCGAAUACAAACUGAGACCUGGCUUGUUUUACUAGAACAAAAGAAACAAGGAUUCUACUCAAGAUACCUCAUGCUCUGGUAUGUAGACGAUGAUUGGCUGUUUACAUAGCUUGGAAAGAACCUGUUAAAAGCAAAAACACCGUGGCUUUGAAAAUUGAUAAGGAACAUCUUGAGGUUUACAAUGCAGAGAAGCUACUACUCACUAGCAACUCAGACUCUCCUCCCCAGAAAUCAUGUCUUCCAAUCCGCUGACAAUACCUGAAGCAAAACAACAAGAAUAAAACAGUCAUUUAGCUCUGAGGGAAGCAGUAAUGAAUUGUUGUGACUCUACCGUUUCAGAGACUCAUCCACAGUGAUAGCUAUUAAAGCUUCUUUGUACUUCUCCCUUUCCUUGGGGUCAUUGCAUAUAACCUCUUUCACAGCCAUUCGUAAUUCAUCUGUGGAUGAAAUGCAAGUUUUUUUUGUUGUUGUUAUUUGCCACACAGAAACAUGAUGAUCAACAUUAAAAUGGAUAAGGUUCCUCAAUUACUAAUCAGUCAAUAAACCAAAGAAUCCACAAAACAUUUUAGCAGUGUUCCAACAAAACCACAAGGCCAACAUACUUGAAAAAAACUCAGAAACACACAAUAAAACACCAGAACAUGGUGGGAGUAAAGAAGGGUAUGAAGAGUGACCUGCAUCAUCUCUCUCUCUCCGGGGAUUGAUAGUAAGACCCUUGUUAAAGGCCAUUCCUUUCACCUACCAUUAAACUGUUUCUUGAGGAAACUCAACAAUAAACAAUCCAAAAUUACAUAUAACACGAAUAGAGCAGAAAAGUACAAAUACCAAAGCUCUAAAGAGGCAGCGACCAUCCCCAGUAACUCUAUCCACAGCGUACUGCUCAACCUUCUUCGCUGCCGGAGACCCAUUCCUGGAGAUUGAGCAUAGAGAACACACUAGUGCUCAAACUCACAGAUUACCCUCGAUUUCAAACAAAACAAAAAAACGAGAAAACUCACAAGGAGGAACCGAUUCUGGCGAAGAAGGCAUAGCUAUUGCCCUGUAAGAAGGAAGCAGAGGAGAUUGAAGGAGUAGGGGAGGAAACAAGCUCGAACCGAGCGAGCCCAUGUCUCAGCUGCUCCAGAAGAAUGUUAUCUGCGCAAAGAGUAAUAAGACUUUGAUGUUGUUGUUCGGAUUAAACGACAACAUAUAAACAAAAAUGGUGCAGAGAAAUGAAGUGUUACUGUUCGAAGGUUUUAGCUCCUCCAUGGACAUCAACAAAUCUCUAUGGACAGAGGAUAAGAGAAGUGAAUUUGACUCUCCAACAAACCAGAAGAAGACGCGAGUGUGUAGCGAUGGAAGUUUUAUUAUGAUUACAUAUCUCGUAUAGAACAGCAAUCCGUUGUAGUCUAGCUGGUCAGGAUACUCGGCUCUCACCCGAGAGACCCGGGUUCGAGUCCCGGCAACGGAGAGUUUUUUAUCUCUUUUUAAAAACUCACACGGACGAGGAGGCCACACACGUGCCAAAAGUCAACUUUUUUAUGGUUUAACGACCAACCGGAAAAACUCUGGCAAUUGGCAACUAGAAUCUGAACUAAGCAACUUCUGCCUAAGAAUUAUCGAAACACUUACACACAAUACCCACGCGCUCUCUCACGCUCCCGUACACACACUUGUUUUCUUAUUCUCUAAUCGACUACGAUCUCUUCGAUGCUCUCACUACCUUCCUCCUUCAUUCCCUUCUGAUUCCACCCUCUUCAUCUUUGGAUCUCUCUCUCUCUCUCUGGCAUUAUCUUCUUUCUUUGAGGUGAGUUCUCUUGUUGAGACCUUUUGGUAUUAAGAUUUGGUUGUUUGUUUACUAUUAGAGACAAUGAGCAGUGAAACGAAUCUCACCAUCUUUGGAUUUAAUCAUGAAUCAUGCUUUUGAAAGUCAGCAGCUUUACCCACUCAAUUUGUCUUUUUUGGUUUCUGUCCCUGUCGGAUUUGUUCAGUUAAUCUGUUUUUUUUUUCAGCAAAGGAAUGGCUUCAAUGUCUCAUUCAUCCAUAGCAUUGUGUGGAGCUUCUGCUUCUGCUUCAGACCACCUGCGUAGUUCGACCAAUGGUGUCACUGGGGUCUCAUUGAGAACCCUAGGAAGAGCAAUGGUUGCAUCCACCAAAAGAAGCAACCUGUACGUGACAGCUCGGCUCAAGAAAGGCAAGAAGUUCGAUCACCCCUGGCCUUCCAACCCUGACCCGAACGUCAAAGGAGGAGUCUUGUCUUACCUCUCCACUUUCAAACCCUUGGGGGACACUCAAAAGCCCGUCACUCUUGAUUUCGAGAAGCCACUCGUUGAACUCGAGAAGAAGAUUGUCGAUGUAAGAAGAACUAAUAAUACUAACUCAUUGUCAGAAGCGAAGCCAUUUCUCUUUUAACAUUGGUCCUUUUGGUGGUGGAUGCAGGUGAGGAAGAUGGCGGCUGAAACUGGUUUGGACUUCACUGAUCAGAUCAUCACUUUGGAAACCAAGUAUAGACAGGCGCUGAAGGAUCUUUACACGCAUCUCACACCGAUACAGCGCGUGAACAUUGCACGACAUCCCAACCGUCCUACUUUCCUUGAUCAUAUACAUAACAUCACUGACAAGGUCUGCUCUCUCGUUACUAUGCUCUUUUUUUGUUUGUUUGUCAUGCAUUGGAGAUAAACUUUUGUUUCUCUUGUUUCAGUUUAUGGAGCUUCAUGGAGACAGGGCGGGUUAUGAUGAUCCAGCCAUUGUGACUGGUAUUGGAACCAUAGAUGGGAAACGUUAUAUGUUCAUUGGUCACCAGAAAGGAAGAAACACCAAAGAGAAUAUAAUGCGUAACUUUGGGAUGCCUACUCCUCAUGGGUAUGUUAUGUUUGUCUUUUAAGAAGUUCAUGUUUUGUUGUUAAAUAGUAGUUAACGACACUCUCAUUAAAUCUUCUGUAAUGCCAACAACAGUUAUAGGAAGGCGUUACGGAUGAUGUAUUACGCAGACCAUCAUGGUUUCCCCAUUGUGACUUUCAUCGACACUCCUGGAGCCUAUGCAGAUCUUAAAUCUGAGGAACUUGGACAGGUACAUGAACUGUCUUUUAUGUUUGAAGCGUACUGGUUUGUCUUCAUCACAGCAUUUUUUUUUUUGUCUGUUAUGUGUAUAAUAGGGUGAAGCGAUUGCCAACAAUCUGAGGACAAUGUUCGGCUUGAAAGUGCCGAUUCUUUCUAUUGUCAUUGGAGAAGGUGGUUCUGGAGGUGCCUUGGCUAUUGGCUGUGCUAAUAAAAUGCUGAUGCUUGAAAACGCUGUUUUCUAUGUUGCCAGGUAAGAACUUUCCUCCAAUGUAGGUAAGAAUAUUAUUACAGGUUGGUUUAUUCUGUGUGUUGUUAUGCUUUCACAGUCCAGAGGCAUGUGCAGCGAUCUUGUGGAAUAGUUCCAAGGCUGCUCCUGAGGUCUGUACACUGUUCUGUUAAGUGAAUUGUGUAAAUAUCUGAUGUUGUUACAAUUGAUUGAAAACUCUUGUAUGCAGGCUGCUGAAAAGCUUAGAAUUACCUCCAGGGAGUUGGUUAAGCUUAAUGUAGCCGAUGGAAUCAUACCUGUAACUAUCUCUACCUCUAGUCUAUUUGUUUUAGCCUCUUUUGUUGCUUUGGUUUGAUGAGUUACUCUCUCUUACAUGUUGUACAGGAACCUCUUGGUGGUGCUCAUGCUGAUCCUUCAUGGACGUCGCAGCAGAUAAAGAUUGCUAUCAAUGAAAACAUGAAUGUACGUAGCCUCAAAGCUGGAUAUGGAUCAGAAAACGUUCUAACUUAUUUUUUUUUUCAGGAAUUUGGAAAAAUGAGUGGGGAGGAGCUGCUGAAGCACAGGAUGGCUAAGUACAGAAAGAUUGGAGUGUUCAUUGAGAAUGCUCCUGUAGAGCCAGAGAUUAAAGUCAACAUGAAGAGGAGAGACGCUGUGAUCUCCAAUAGCCGGAAGCUGGAGGGGGAAGUUGAGAAGCUAAGAGACCAGAUUCUGAAAGCCAAGGAGACUUCUUCAGAGGAAGCGCCGUCUAGUGAAGUUCUUAACGAGAUGAUUAAGAAACUUAAGUCAGAGAUAGAUGAUGAGUACACUGAAGCUGCAAGAGCAAUGGGUUUGGAGGAGAGACUAACAGCAAUGCGCGGAGAAUUCUCAAAGGCGAGUGCAGAGGAGCAUCUUAUGCAUCCUAUUCUGAUAGAGAAGAUUGAGAAGCUUAAAGAAGAGUUCAAUACACGUUUGAGUGAAGCACCUAACUACGAGAGCCUCAAAUCUAAGCUUGACAUGUUGAGAGACUUUUCAAGAGCCAAGGCAGCUUCAGAAGCUGCUUCAGUGAGAAAUGAGAUCAAUAAGCGGUUUCAAGAAGCUGUGGACCGUCCUGAAGUUAGAGAGAAGGUUGAG
rnacentral:lncRNA from 1 species